CCCUUAGAUGUUCGGGGCCGCACGCGCGCUACACUGAAGGAAUCAGCACGUCUUUCUCCUUGUCCGAAAGGACUGGGUAACCCGCUGAACCUCCUUCGUGCUAGGGAUUGGGGCUUGUAAUUCUUCCCCAUGAACGAGGAAUUCCCAGUAAGCGCGAGUCAUAAGCUCGCGUUGAUUACGUCCCUGCCCUUUGUACACACCGCCCGUCGCUACUACCGAUUGGGUGGUUUAGUGAGAUCCUCGGAUUGGUCCCGGCGCGGCCUCUGGUCGUGCCGGAGUGCCGAAAAGAAUGUCGAACUUGAUCAUCUAGAGGAAGUAAAAGUCGUAACA
rnacentral:rRNA from 1 species